UCGAACGGCACCUAUCUUCGGAUAGAAGCGAGUGGCGAACGGCUGAGUAACACGUGGAGAACCUGCCCCCUCCCCCCGGGAUAGCCGCCCGAAAGGACGGGUAAUACCGGAUACCCCGGGGUGCCGCAUGGCACCCCGGCUAAAGCCCCGACGGGAGGGGGAUGGCUCCGCGGCCCAUCAGGUAGACGGCGGGGUGACGGCCCACCGUGCCGACAACGGGUAGCCGGGUUGAGAGACCGACCGGCCAGAUUGGGACUGAGACACGGCCCAG
rnacentral:rRNA from 1 species